CCCUUAGAUGUUCUGGGCCGCACGCGCGCUACACUGAUCAGUGCAACAAGCAUCCGUCCUUGGCCGACAGGCCCGGGCAAUCUUUGAACGCUGAUCGUGAUGGGGAUAGACUUUUGCAAUUAUGGGUCUUCAACGAGGAAUUCCUAGUAAACGCAAGUCAUCAGCUUGCAUUGAUUACGUCCCUGCCCUUUGUACACACCGCCCGUCGCACCUACCGAUUGAAUGGUCCGGUGAAAUCUCGGGACGGCGGCUUGGUCGCUUGCGUCCGACUGCUGAAACUUGAUUAAACCAUAUCAUUUAGAGGAAGGUGAAGUCGUAACA
rnacentral:rRNA from 1 species